rnacentral:ncRNA from 1 species
ACACAAAGGUUUGGUCCUAGCCUUGAAAUCAGCCCUUACUUAACAUACACAUGCAAGUCUCCGCACCCCUGUGAAAACGCCCUUCACCCCCUCCAAGGGGGCAGGAGCUGGUAUCAGGCACAAAAAUUAGCCCAUGACACCUAGCUAUGCCACACCUACACGGGUCUUCAGCAGUGAUUAACAUUGAAAAUAAGCGACAGCUUGAAUCAGUAAAAGUAAAAAGAGCCGGCUAAUCUGGUGCCAGCCGCCGCGGUUACACCAUGUGGCUCAAACUGACUUCUUCCGGCGUAAAGCGUGAUUAAAGAUAAUAAAUACUGCAAUUAAAUUAGAAUUAAGCUGUGACACGCUUAUUCUCAAGAAACUCGAAAACGAAAGUCAUUGCAACUCCAUCUUGAACUCACGACAGUUGGGAAACAAACUGGGAUUAGAUACCCCACUAUGCCUAACCGUAAACUUUUAAUUACCUCCACAUCGCCUGGGAACUACGAGCAAAGCUUAAAACCCAAAGGACUUGACGGUACCCCACAUCCACCUAGAGGAGCCUGUCCUAUAAUCGAUAACCCCCGCUUCACCUCACCAUUUUUAGCCUAUCAGCCUGUAUACCUCCGUCGUCAGCUUACCCCAUGAGCGCCAAUUAGUGAGCUUAAUGCCAAUACGCCAAUACGUCAGGUCAAGGUGCAGCAUAUAAAAUGGAAAGAGAUGGGCUACACUAUCUAGUUUAGAUGAUACGGAAGAUUACAUAUGAAACCUAAUCAGAAGGCGGAUUUAGAAGUAAGGAGAAACCAAAGUGUUCUCCUUAACCCGGCACUGGGGUGUGUACACACCGCCCGUCACCCUCUUCAACGCCGCUACCCAGUUAAUAACUCAAUUUGGCACGACAGAAGAGGCAAGUCGUAACAUGGUAAGUAUACCGGAAGGUGUGCUUGGCAACAAA